GAUGAAGAACGCAGCGAAAUGCGAUAAGUAAUGUGAAUUGCAGAAUUCAGUAAAUCAUCGAAUCUUUGAACGCACAUUGCGCCCGCCAGUAUUCUGGCGGGCAUGCCUGUUCGAGCGUCAUUUCAACCAUCAAGCCCCCGGGCUUGUGUUGGGGUCCUGCGGCUGCCGCAGGCCCUGAAAAGCAGUGGCGGGCUCGCUGUCACACCGAGCGUAGUAGAUUUUAUCUCGCUCAGGGCGUGCUGCGGGUUCCGGCCGUUAAACCACCUUCAUAACCCAAGGUUGACCUCGGAUCAGGUAGGAAGACCCGCUGAACUUAAGCAUAUCAAUAAGCGGAGGA
rnacentral:misc_RNA from 1 species